rnacentral:rRNA from 1 species
UACGUAGGCAGCAAGCGUUGUUCGGAAUUACUGGGCGUAAAGAGUGUGUAGGCGGUGUUCUAAGUCUGUUGUGAAAUCUCCCGGCUUAACCGGGGAACUGCGUCUGAUACUGGAUGGCUUGAGUUUGGGAGAGGGAUGCGGAAUUCCAGGUGUAGCGGUGAAAUGCGUAGAUAUCUGGAGGAACACCGGUGGCGAAGGCGGCAUCCUGGACCGGCAUUGACGCUGAACAGCGAAAGCUAGGGGAGCAAACGGG